CCAGGAGCUCCAGAGGCCAGGUUCUGCCCGGCAACCUCAACCCUGUGCUUGUUGCAAGUUGUUCGGAUUUGUGCAAGUAAUGAUUCGGGGCUAGAGAGAGCAUCGUGUGGCUGGUGCUCAUCUGACAGGUCCAUUCCAGGCAAGAUGAUUUUGCAUGAAUUCCUUGCAAACAUCUCUGCAACUGCUUCAUAGCCAUUUCUUGAGGCCGUGUUAUAGAAGCCGGCAGUCAGUUCAGAAGGGUGUGCCCGGGUUUUGUACCACGAGUGCAUCAAUGGGACUUUCCCAUAAACAUUGACUUCAGUAUCACCAAAAAUGGACGAGACAAGAGAGAGGAGACGAUUGCCGUGAGAUACAAGCUCGCUUGAGUACCAGGAAAGGAAGAAGUCACCAUAAGGACUUUCCCACGACCCACCGUGAUCCUUGAAGAAACUAUUUGAGUUCGGUGCCUGAUCAUAAGUAGGGGCAUCAUGUGGACCACCUAGACCCCAUAAUGGGUUUCCAUUUGCUUCAGCAUAUUGCUUAAGAAGGUUAAGCAUGUUUGUGUCAUAACAUUGGAACUCCCCGACUCCAGUAAUCGUGCCACUCUUGGCAGGCUUGUGGUGUGAGGGAUACCGGAGUUCACCAUCUGGUCCAAGACCCAUUGAG
rnacentral:lncRNA from 1 species